rnacentral:rRNA from 1 species
AUUGAACGCUGGCGGCAGGCCUAACACAUGCAAGUCGAGCGGAUGAAGGGAGCUUGCUCCUGUAUUCAGCGGCGGACGGGUGAGUAAUGCCUAUGAAUCUGCCUGGUCGUGGGGGAUAACGUCCGGAAACGGGCGCUAAUACCUCAUACUUCCUGCGGGAGCAAGUGGGGGAUCUUCGGACCUCACGCUAUCAGAUGAGCCUAGGCCGGAUUAGCUAGUUGGUGGGGUAAAGGCCUACCAAGGCGACGAUCCGUAACUGGUCUGAGAGGAUGAUCAGUCACACUGGAAGUGAGACACGGUCCAGACUCCGACGGGAGGAAGCAGGGGGGAAUAUUGGACGAUGGGCGAAAGCAUGAUAAAGCAAUGCCGCGUGUGUGAAGAAGGUGUUCGGAUUGUAAAGCACAUUAAGUUGGGAGGAAGGGAAGUAAGUUAAUACCUGGAUGUUUUGACGGUACCAACAGAAUAAGCACCGGCUAACUUCGUG